CUAUUGUCGCUUGAAGUAGUUCGCUGGCUUAGUGACCUUCUAAUUGACUAGCCAAUCAGGUGUGGUGGAGGUCAUGAGCUGGAGUCUCGCUUUAAACAAAAUAGGAAGUGAGCUGUCAAACCGGGGGGAGUUGAAUGUUCAGUCAAUGCGUUGUGUCGGAGGUUGCGGUAGCUCGGUGGAAGUUCGGAAACGCUUUAACUAAAACCUAUGGACCUAUUGGACUACUGGAAGUAAACUAAAAUCUAUGGACCUAUUGGACUACUGGAAGUGAACGUGGAUGUUGAGAAUGGACGUGUGGAUCAUAAAGUAAAUGUGGCAGUGCAAGGCAUGUCCAGCAGCUGUUGAAAGCAGGUGGAGGAGAGUGUGGAAGAGGGUGUUCCACCUGUAGAUCGCACAGCCACACACAGUGAAGUGCCGAAUACUCUUCAGAAGCAGCUUGCUGCAGCUUUAUUGAAGUUGGAGCAUUUGGUGCAUGUACCAGACUGAUCCUAUUAAAAAUCAUUCUGGCAGACAACACGUGUCAAAGAUUGACAUUCCCAAGAGGACUACCUACAGCCGUUGAUGACCUGGUUUGUGAAGUACAGAGACAGUGUGGCUUAACGUCAAAUUUUAGACUGCAGUUCAUGGACUCACUGUUUGGAAAUUACCUGAUUUCCAUGGACAAAUUACAGGAUAGAGGGACAGUUAGAGUAAUUCCUGAUGCCUUAACUCUCAUGAAUGCUGGAAGCCCCUCCACCUCAACUGCUGCUCCUUCCACCAGUCCUAAUUUUGAAGGACCUUCAUCGCCAUCUACUAACAGUGUUGACACCGACAUCAUCUCUUCCCCAGAGUCUGAGCCAUCUGGGUCAAGGUCACUUUGGCCUCCCACCUUCCAGUGCCCUAUUUUUUUUUAUGAUGCAGAAUUGAAACUUCAGAGGGCAAAUGCAGCUUACAAGGAGAAGGGUACCUUGCGUUUUGCAGAUGCAGACCCUAAACUGAAAUCAGACAUUCUCCAUGGACAAACUCAAGAAAUAGUCAAGUAUGGUGUUUAUGUCACUGACAAGCAGUUUAGCAAGGUUGGGAAGGCUCUCAUUUCCAAGCACAACAAACAAACAAACAAAGAGAUCCGAAGUCAACUAUUGCCCUGGUUAUCCCACAGGGGAAAAUGAUAUGUCCCUAGAGAAGAUUAGAGUGGAACUUACUUCUGAUAUUAAGAGGAGGAAUAACAGGGAGGUGAUAAGGAUGAAAAUGGAGAAGACAUUUGCUUACAGGAGACAAGAAGUUGUUCGUAACACACCCAUGAUCCAUGAGGUCCAGCAGAGAUGGCCAGCCCUCUUUGAAGUACAAGAGAUCAAUGCAGAAUUCAAGCGGAUCACAACCAUCCCCUUACAGUCCAGAUUUCUUUCCCAGCUAGACAUUCUCUCCGACAAGCUUGUGAAGCUUUUCAAACACCGAGCAGGCCAGAUUGGCACACAUCUACAGUCCAUUCUGACACCCAUUACUCAGCUAAGAAUUGCCUUACUGUUGUGGGAUGAUGAUUGAUGUGUGUCGUAAAGUAAAAGGUUUGUCUAAUUAAAUGUAAUUUUCUCCUUAUCCCUGUUGACUUAGACUGGUGAUGGGGAUCGUGAUGAAGACGUUGAUGUUGGGCGGGAGUGCCUUCUUAAAGGGUUAUGCAUCUACCUCAAUGAGGACCUGAGCAACCUUGUUCGAGAAAUUGUGGAAGAAGAUGAAAGUCAGAUUCAGAGGGCAGUGGAAGAAACAACAGUGGGGAUUCUUGUUGUGAAGCGCCACAUCUCAGACCAUCCUGACAUUGUGAUCGUCUUAGAGGGGCAGCAGGUGUCGCUGGAACUAGACAAUGUGGCUUUAGCAGCAGCUCUGCUAUUUGGGCUCAUAUAUGCCCUAAAUCUGGAUUACCCUAAAGAACUGAAAUAUACAUUUGAAGUUCUCCAAAAGAUAAUCAUUGAGCUGGAAGGCACCACCAUGUCCAAAAAAUGCCAGGCCCUGAAAAACAGACUCCAUGACUAAGUUUGAUUUGUUUUUUUCUGCCAAUUGCUAAAACACAAUUUUGUGAGUUUUGCUAUUGUGUGAUCAUUUCUGUUUUACUGUGCAAGCAGUCAGAAAGAAAUACUAAUUUAGAGUGCCUGCAAAAGUUUUUUUUCAAGGUGCAAGGUGUUUUGAUUUCUAGUUGAAUUGGUAGAUUGUAAGAUGCUACCAGUGCUGUUAGGCCUUUGCUAAGAUGGUUACAGCGGUUGCUAUAAUGGCUGAUAGGUUAGUCAUAAUGGUUGCGAGGUCAAACAACUAAUAAUUGAUAAACUUCAGUUUCAGUUUACUUGGGUUAGAUAACUGGGCGCAACCUGUGUGCAUUUUUUCCGGCAGUGACAGUUUGUUUGUUUUUUCAGAAUAUGUUGUUGCCCACAAACAUACUGAUUUAUUUUUAUUAAUUUUGUUUAUUUUUCACAUGGCUAGGGUCAUGUCAGUUUGGCCUCUCAGUUGUUUGCCUGCAGAUGGGUGAAUAAAUGUUGGAAAUUUA